CUCUGCUGGGUGGUGACCUUGCUGGGGUGGUGCCAGGUGGAGGUGGGUGCUGCCCUGAUGGCAGAACUCAAGAGCUGCUGCUUGCGGGGCUGAGUCGGGGGCUCCUCCCUCAGCCCCAAGGCGGGAAAAGCCCAGCUGCAGGCCGGGAAGGUGAGGCCCCAGGGACCGGCACGGCCAGGGACUCCUGCACCCGGCCAACUGAGCCCCCCUCACCCCCCAUCAAUCGCUCUAAUGGGGGUGACCCUCCGGCUGCCCGAUCCCCUUGUAUUCCAGGGUCCAGCGUACCCCCCUGGCUAGCAGCAUCUGACCCCACACCUCAGACGUGGGCUACAAGCGCUGAGACGCCCACAGGGACUGGCACCCCCACCGAGGGGGCCACAGCACCAGAUGAGCCCAGCUGUGGCAGUGGGCAGCCCUGCCCCCCUUGGAGCACCUGCGUGUCCUGGGCUGGGCACUUCUCCUGCCGCUGCGCCCUGGGCUUCCAUUUCAACCAGACCAUGGGCUGCGUGCCAGGAUGUUCCCAGGGCGCCUCUCUCUGCGGGCCCCCGCCCCGGCACCGCCAAGCCCUCUGCCACCUGCCGACCUGUGCAGGAUCGUCGCCCAGCUGGAGAGCCUGGUAUUGUGUGGGGGGGGGGGGGCUGGCUGACACCCGCUGG